ensembl:lncRNA
AUACAUGAUGAUAAGAUUUUUAAUGUUUAGAUACAUGUAGUAUAUGAUGAUAAGAUGUUUAAUGUUUAGAAACAUGUAGUAUAUGAUGAUAAGAUGUUUAAUGUUUAGAUACAUGAUGAUAAGAUGUUUAAUGUUUAGAUACAUGAUAAGAUGUUUAAUGUUUAGAUACAUGAUGAUAAGAUUAGAUACAUGAUAAGAUGUUUAAUGUUUAGAUACAUGUAGUAUAUGAUGAUAAGAUGUUUAAUGUUUAGAUACAUGAUAAGAUGUUUAAUGUUUAGAUACAUGAUGAUAAGAUUAGAUACAUGAUAAGAUGUUUAAUGUUUAGAUACAUGUAGUAUAUGAUGAUAAGAUGUUCAAUGUUUAGAUACAUGAUAAGAUGUUUAAUGUUUAGAUACAUGAUGAUAAGAUUAGAUACAUGAUAAGAUGUUUAAUGUUUAGACACAUGAUGAUAAGAUUAGAUACAUGAUGAUAAGAUGUUUAAUGUUUAGAUACAUGUAGUAUAUGAUGAUAAGAUGUUUAAUGUUUAGAUACAUGAUAAGAUGUUUAAUGUUUAGAUACAUGAUGAUAAGAUGUUUGAUGUUUAGAUACAUGUAGUACAUGAUGAUA